GUGCACCAGGCGAGAAUACUCCGCAAUGCUCGAAAGAGUGACGGGGGGAUUCCAAGUGCCUACGCUUAGCGUAGGCUGUUCCGAUGCCUAAAAAGCAUCCGGAGUAAGGGCUGGGUAAGACGGGUGCCAUCUGCAGUGGUAAUGAAAAACUUGCUACUGCAAGGCAUAAGCCGCCGCGGUAAUACCCGCAGCCCGAGUGGUAGUCGCUUUUAUUGGGCCUAAAGCGUCCGUAGCCGGUCUGGUAAAUGCCUGGGGUAAAUCGUGGGGCCUAACCUCACGAAUUCCGGGUAGACUGCCAGACUUGGGACCGGUUGAGGGAGAGGGUACUCCAGGGGUAGGGGUGAAAGUCCUGUAAUCCUUGGAGGACCACCGGUGGCGAAAGCGCUCUCCUAGGACGGGUCCGACGGUGAGGGACGAAAGCCAGGGGAGCAAACCGGAUUAGAUACCCGUGUAGUCCCUGAAACUGCCAAGGCAC
rnacentral:rRNA from 1 species